UCUUAAUAAAAAAUAACAAUAAACAAUUAAACAUCAUAAAACCCAGACCCGGUUGUCCAACUUCCCAACUCUCUCCAUCAUUCCAAAUCAAUCGAAUUACGAUCUGGGCGUUAUUUGAUUCUUAAAUCUUCUUCGCUAAUUUUGAAGAAAAAAUUAGAAGGAACAAAAAUGAUUUACAGAAAGUGGAGUCUGCUCAGCAGUACUGCUGUUAUCACUGGUGGGAUCAUAGGAGCUGUUGUGGUUGGCAACCUACUGUUUGUUCAAGAGAAUCCCUUUAUGAAGCCUGAUUUGAAGAAGGAAAAUAAUUCAUCCUCAAAAUAGAACUGUUUCAUAAGAGAUGCGAUGAGAAAGUUUAGCAGUCAGUUUAUAAUGUAAGUUGCAGGUGAGGGAUACAAGUCACGUUUCCAACAUUUGGUUUAUUUUGUCAAAUAAAGACUUGCCUAAGCCUACUGAGUUGUGAUUAUGGCCUUCAUUUGCUCACAUUUAGCUCUUGUUUUUUCUGUAUACCUCCAGCUUAUGGUUAAUUGAUGUGCCGGUUUUGAGGCACUACCAUACCUCUGUUUGAUUUAUCACUAAACUCUUAAAUUUAUGUAUGAGUUGAUUUGCGCAAAAUGAUGCAUCUUUGAAGACAUAAUUGACUGGACUGGCUCGAAUCUUAACUUGACAUCAACAUGUGCCGACUCUAAACUAGAAUUUGCUUUGAAGUCAUUUGCAAAUGAUGCCUUUGACAAAUUAUUAAUGUGGAUUGUGAUUUAUGAGCAUAUUUAAGUUUAGAUUAUACCCUAACUUCAAAACCGAGAUAUCGAGACAAUUUUAUAGUGUAAUGUGAAUUGUGGCACUUCAAAUAAACAACUUUGGUUGGAAAUUGAGAGACGCCAAUUGAUCCAUUUUUAGACAAAGUAUUAAUAUUAUUGGAGUAGAAAAGGUUUUUCCGAAUCAACACAAAUAAUUGACAUACAAAUGAUCCAUUUGUAUGAAGUUAUAAUCACUAAUAACAUAGCAGUCGAGGGUGACUACCAGUCUUUACUUGACUUGCGGUCCCAAGUGUA